rnacentral:rRNA from 1 species
UUGUUUGUUUAGUUUUUAAAUAAUUAUAGGUUAAAUUUUAAUUAUUUUAUGUGUAUAAUUAUAAUUUUAAAUUUUGAAAAUCGAAUUAGAUUAGUACCUAAUUAGUCAAAAGUUAAAAGAGCAGAAGUAAAGUAAAAUUUAAACUGAAAGAAUAUUGGCAGAUUUUCUAAAUUAUCUUUGGAGGUUGAGUAAUAAUUGAGAACCCUCAUUAACUACUUUUUUAGUGGUCUCAUGUAUGAUCGUUUAUUAUAUGCUUAAGGUAUAUAAUUAAAAAUUAUUUAUUUAUAAAAAUAGAUAUAUAUUUGGUUUAUAUAAAAGUAAUAUUUGACCUACAAUAAUUUGUAAUUGUGGAUCUACUUUUUUGUGAAGUAGUGAAAAUGUAAAAGACAGUAAAAAAAUUUUUAUGGUUUUUUGAAGAUUAUUUAGAAGU